rnacentral:rRNA from 2 species
CUCGGUGACCAAGCGGAGGGGACCCACCCGUUCCCAUUCCGAACACGGAAGUUAAGCCCUCCCGCGCCGACAAUACUUGACGGGAAACUGUCCGGGAAGAUAGGUCGUUGCCGGGG